GCGGUCGUGGCGGAACUGGUAGACGCGCAGCGUUGAGGUCGCUGUGGGCAUUGCGCCCGUGGAAGUUCGAGUCUUCUCGACCGCACCA
rnacentral:tRNA from 1 species